rnacentral:rRNA from 1 species
UACGUAGGGGGCGAGCGUUAUCCGGAUUUACUGGGUGUAAAGAGCGCGUAGGCGGUUCCGUAAGUUGGUUGUGAAAGUUCGAGGCUCAACCUCGAAACUGCGUCCAAUACUGCGGGGCUGGAGUGCAAGAGAGGCAAGUGGAAUUUCAGGUGUAGUAGUGAAAUGCGUAGAUAUCUGAAGGAACACCAGUGGCGAAGGCGGCUUGCUAGCUUGUAACUGACGCUGAGGCGCGAAAGCUAGGGGAG